AAACUAACAAGGAUUCCCCUAGUAACUGCGAGUGAAGCGGGAAAAGCUCAAAUUUAAAAUCUGGCGGUUUUGGCCGUCCGAAUUGUAAUCUGGAGAAGCGUUUUCCGCGUCGGACCGUGCACAAGUCUCUUGGAACAGAGCGUCAUAGAGGGUGAGAAUCCCGUCCAUGGCACGGACCGCCGAUGCUUUGUGAUACGCUCUCGAAGAGUCGAGUUGUUUGGGAAUGCAGCUCAAAAUGGGUGGUAAAUUCCAUCUAAAGCUAAAUAUUGGCGAGAGACCGAUAGCGAACAAGUACCGUGAGGGAAAGAUGAAAAGCACUUUGGAAAGAGAGUUAAACAGUACGUGAAAUUGUUGAAAGGGAAACGCUUGAAGUCAGUCGCGUCUUCUGGGACUCAGCCUUGCUUCGGCUCGGUGUACUUCCCGUUGGACGGGUCAACAUCGAUUUUGGUCGGUGGAUAAUGGUUGCAGGAAUGUGGCACCUUCGGGUGUGUUAUAGCCUGCUUCCGCAUACAUCGACUGGGAUCGAGGACCGCAGCGCGCCUUUAUGGCCGGGGGUUCGCCCCACGUAACGCGCUUAGGAUGUUGGCAUAAUGGCUUUAAGCGACCCGUCUUGAAACACGGACCAAGGAGUCUAACAUGCUCGCGAGUGUUAGGGUGGUAAACCCUUGCGCGUAAUGAAAGUGAAAGUUGGGACCGCCGCGAGGUGGGCACCGACGCCCGGCCCAGACGUUCUCUGACGGUGCCGCGGUAGAGCGCGUAUGUUGGGACCCGAAAGAUGGUGAACUAUGCCUGAAUAGGGCGAAGCCAGAGGAAACUCUGGUGGAGGCUCGUAGCGAUUCUGACGUGCAAAUCGAUCGUCAAAUUUGGGUAUAGGGGCGCGAANCUNNNNNNNNNNNNNNNNNNNNNNNNNNNNNN
rnacentral:rRNA from 1 species